GGCUGGUCCGAAGGUAGUGAGUUCUCUCAAGUGAUUGUUCACAGUCAGUUACAGAUUGAACUCCUUGUUCUACUCUUUCCCCCCUUCUCACUACUCCACUUGACUAGUCUUUU
ensembl:misc_RNA Y_RNA Y RNA